CGGGGUGCAGCAGGCGCGAAAACUUUACAAUGCUGGCAACAGCGAUAAGGGGACCUCGAGUGCCAGGAUACAAUCUUGGCUGUCGCGAUGCCUAAAAAGCAUUGCAUAGCAAGGGCCGGGCAAGACCGGUGCCAGCCGCCGCGGUAACACCGGCGGCUCGAGUGGUAACCGCUAUUAUUGGGUCUAAAGGGUCUGUAGCCGGCCGGAUAAGUCUUUUGGGAAAUCCAGCUGCUCAACAGUUGGGCUUUCAGAAGAUACUGUUCGGCUCGAGACCGGGAGAGGUGAGAGGUACUUCAGGGGUAGGGGUGAAAUCUUGUAAUCCUUGAAGGACCACCAGUGGCGAAGGCGUCUCACCAGAACGGAUCUGACGGCAAGGGACGAAAGCUAGGGGCACGAACCGGAUUAGAUACCCGGGUAGUCCUAGCCGUAAACGAUACUCGCUAGGUGUCAGCCACGGUGCGACCGUGGUUGGUGCCGUAGGGAAGCCGUGAAGCGAGCCACCUGGGAAGUACGGCCGCAAGGCUGAAACUUAAAGGAAUUGGCGGGGGAGCACAAGGGCGAAUGCG
rnacentral:rRNA from 1 species